UGAAUAUCAGUCGGAAGAGAUACUUAAUCCCUUACUGCUCUUUUUUCUGCUUCACGGCUGACAUGAGGUCAGCAGUUUUCUUGUCCAAGCCUUUCCAUCAUGAUGGCCGCUGUGUCACAGGCACCAAAGCCAGCAGCCAACAAAUAAAAAAAAUUUUUUUGUACAGUUUGUCACAAUGAUGGAAAAUGGACACAUGUCCUGAUACCAACACAACCACUCCCAAGGGACAGUCAAUCAAUUCAAAAAGGAGGCAGCUUUUCCACUACUACUACCUACAAGACUGUGAAGGAGAUCAACAUCUUGGCUCACACAAGACCCAGCACAACUAGAAGAGUGAGUGCAGAGGAAUCAGUGGCUACUCCUAGAGUCCGCUGCCCGUGUCAGGAGAUGUUGAUGGCAUCUCAGAGUGUGGUCCAGGCUGGUCUUGCACUCACAGUCUUCCCGAUUCAGCCUCCCCAGGGCUGAGAUUGUAGGUGUUCAUGCCCAUGCUUGUCUGUUGCUUGCUUUUUUGUCGUGCCUAGCGUAAACUCUCCAGUCACCUCAGAGACUAACGGGUCCCUCCUUUGCCGUUAGCUGAAACUAAUGACUUAAUGUGUUUCAUGUGGAUAGACUGAGUAUUAAAACAAUAAUUAAAGCGCCUCUCCACAGUGAGAUGCCAGCAUGGAGCCUCUGUGCAUGAGUAACCAAGUUCUUUCCUCAGAGAAAAUUGUCUUCGUUCGGAUAUUCUCUCAAGUGCGGGGGUGACUCAGUGGGCCAUCCUUAGUGACCAGUACACACGGAUUAAUUUGUGCAGCCACUGCCCAUGCAUGGAGGGACAGUGGUCUGCUAAGCACAUUUCCUGAGACGAGACAGGCUGCUGUUGAAUUUGCUCUGCAUAUUCUAGUCCAUGACCCGGCAGUUGCACCAGAGUUUGGUUUAAGGGGUGGAGGUGGGGGCAGCGGAGAGCAGAAAAAACCCACACACAUUCUUUCAAUUUCUAAAGGGAAAUUUGACUCGAGCUACAGAACAAAGGCAGAAGAAAUAGAAGUAAAAGAAAAUCAAAGAAAAAGUGGUUCGGAUUCAAGGGGAUCGAAUGUUUCAUUUAUUGCAGGGAUAGAAAGUCAGCAGAAGUAUUGA
rnacentral:lncRNA from 1 species